rnacentral:lncRNA from 1 species
AUGAGCAGAAGUAAUACUAAAUCAGCAAUUCACUUGAAAUCGGUAAAAACGAUCAUUGAGGUCUGGUACUGCAACACAAAGAAAACCCAAAUCAGUUCAAAUCAAGGGAAACAAAAAAAUCCAAUCGAAAAUUCGAUACACGACCCACUAACUCAUAACGAAUUCUGAGCUAAAACAAAAAAGAAGAAGAAACCGUCAAAUCAGAUUCUCACAAAUCUGUUCCACAAUCAGUUCUAAAUUCCCAAAAUCUCUGUUUCGAAAUCUCUGUUUAGUAAAACUAAGAGAGGUUUUUCAUGUCCGGGGUUGUACCAGUACGACGUCGACGUCGACGCCGCGUAAGGGUAAUCGGAGUACUCCAUUUUGUUCACCACUGCGCCUCCACUACCGGUGGCGGCAACUUUCUUCUUCUUCUCUUUCUUCUCUCCUCCGGGGGCAGCUUCCUUCUUCCCUCUUUCUUUUAUUCCACAAUCAGAUUUUCUAUGGAGGUAUGAAGAGGAAGAAGACAUGCAAUAAGGUCAAGGGGAACCGAAGAGUGAAAAACAGAGCGAAACAACAUAUGGUGGUAUCUUUCAUAAGCCGUAUGACACGUUAGGUCUUAGCUGGCAAGAGGUGGCAGCUAACAUAAAUAAACGUAAAGCAAGGACGAGACCAUAAUAUCAUGCAGUCCUUAGCUACAGUAACCCAGAUAUAGUAUAUAAAUAAACGUAAAGCAAGGACGGGACCAUAAUAUCAUGCAGUCUUUAGCUACAGUAACCCAGAUAUAGUAUAUAGUAAAUAAAUUAUCCAACCACAUCCAACACGGGUGUCUCACGAAUUUGUUCUAUUUUAACCAUGUACGUGACUAUCGCUCUACGAGGUUUUUUUUUCUUUUGUGUCAAGGCUUGGUGUGCCAUAAUUGCUUGCUAUGCAGAUAAGAUCUGGAUGCGUUACACUUACAAAAUCACAGAAGAAGAGUUUGUAGGUCUUCGUUAAAAGCUUG